AACCUGUGGCGCGCUCCGCGGUUCCGGCGCCUGAAGUUUUAGCUGCGGUGGCGGCGGCAGUCGGGACCGACUGCAAGGCAGGUUGAGAUGAUGGAUCUGAGGCUUGCAGCUCGCAGUCCCAACGAGCCUUAGGGACCAGGGCUACCAAAAGGGUGGGGAGAACGGUGGUGGCAUCUGUCUGUUGCCUGGGAUCCAGGCGCCCGGUUGGGGAAUCCUUACUUCAGGAAGCGCAGCCGCGGCUCUGUGUUUUGAGAGUGCAAAUGUCAUUUGUCAGAGUGAACCGCUGUGGUCCCCGAGUUGGUGUAAGAAAGACACCGAAAGUAAAGAAGAAGAAAACUUCAGUGAAACAAGAAUGGGAUAAUACCGUGACUGAUCUAACCGUUCAUCGGGCAACUCCCGAAGAUCUGGUACGCCGUCAUGAAAUACACAAAUCGAAGAAUAGAGCAUUAGUACACUGGGAACUCCAAGAAAAAGCUUUGAAGAGAAAAUGGAGGAAGCAGAAACCAGAAACUUUAAAUCUUGAGAAAAGAAGAUUGUCUAUCAUGAAGGAGAUUCUUUCUGAUCAAUACCAGAUGCAAGAUGUGUUGGAGAAAUCUGAUCAUCUAAUAGCUGCAGCAAAAGAGCUGUUUCCUCGUAGGCGCACAGGGUUUCCAAAUGUAACAGUGGCUCCUGAUUCCUCUCAGGGUCCCAUUGUGGUAAAUCAAGACCCUAUCACCCAAUCUAUCUUUAAUGAGUCUGUCAUAGAACCUCAGGCUCUUAAUGAUGUAGAUGGUGAAGAAGAAGGAACUGUUAAUAGCCAGUCAGGAGAAAGUGAGAAUGAGAAUGAGUUGGAUAACUCUCUAAACUCUCAGUCUAACACGAAUACAGACAGGUUUCUCCAACAACUAACAGAAGAGAAUUUUGAGUUAAUUAGUAAGUUGUGGACUGACAUUCAGCAGAAAAUAGCAACCCAGUCACAAAUAACUCCUCCAGGAACGCCAUCAUCUGCUCUUUCAUCAGGGGAGCAAAGAGCUGCUCUGAAUGCUACCAAUGCUGUCAAGAGACUCCAAACCAGGCUUCAGCCUGAAGAAUCUACUGAGACUCUAGACUCAAGCUACGUUGUGGGACACGUGCUGAACUCAAGGAAGCAAAAACAGCUGUUAAAUAAAGUGAAAAGGAAACCGAAUUUGCAUGCUCUUUCCAAGCCGAAGAAAAACAUAUCAUCAGGUAGCACAACCUCUGCAGACUUACCAAAUAGGACUAAUUCCAACCUGGAUGUCCUCAAACACAUGAUACAUGAAGUGGAACAUGAAAUGGAAGAAUAUGAGCGGUGGACAGGUCGCGAGGUCAAGGGUCUGCAGAGCAGUCAGGGUCUUACAGGCUUCACUUUGUCGCUGGUGAGCUCCCUCUGUCGCCUGGUUCGGUACCUUAAAGAGAGUGAGAUCCAGCUACGUAAAGAAGUAGAGACAAGGCAACAACUGGAACAAGUAUUAGGUGAUCAUCGAGAGCUCAUUGAUGCUCUGACAGCUGAAAUUCUUCGUCUUAGAGAAGAAAACGCUGCUACACAGGCAAGACUUCAGCAGUACAUGGUCACAACAGAUGAGCAACUGAUAUCACUCACACAUGCUAUUAAGAACUGUCCUGUGAUAAAUAACAGACAAGAAAUUCAGGCAUCAGAAAGCGGAGCCACAGGUAGAAGAGUUAUGGACAGUCCAGAGCGUCCAGUUGUAAAUGCCAAUGUCUCAGUGCCAUUGAUGUUCAGAGAGGAAGUGGCUGAAUUCCCACAGGAAGAGUUGCCCGUUAAACUGUCUCAGGUGCCAGACCCUCCAGAUAACAUGAAUCUGGCCAAGAAUUUUCCAGCACAUAUUUUUGAGCCAGCUGUGUUGUUAACACCACCCAGGCAGAAGAGCAACUUAAAAUUCUCUCCUCUUCAGGACGUAUUGAGAAGGACUGUUCAAACUCGUCCUGCUCCACGACUUCCUCCAACUGUGGAAAUAAUUGAGAAGGAACAAAAUUGGGAAGAGAAGACCUUACCUAUUGAUACAGACAUUCAGAAUUCAAGUGAAGAGAAUCGUCUCUUCACUCAGAGAUGGAGAGUCUCUCACAUGGGAGAAGAUUUGGAGAACAAAACUCAGGCUCCUUUUGUUAACCUCUCACAGCCCCUCUGCAAUUCCCAUUCCAACACUCAACAGUCAAGAAGCCCCACAUUCUCAGAAGAGCUCCCAGUACUGGGAGAUGGGCAGCAGCUGAGAACAAAUGAGUCAUUAAUACAAAGAAAGGACAUAAUGACACGAAUUGCUGAUUUGACAUUGCAGAAUUCAGCUAUCAAGGCACAUAUGAAUAAUAUUAUUGAGCCCAGAGGAGAGCAAGGGGAUGGACUCCGGGAGUUGAACAAACAAGAAAGUGCAAGUGACAUGACUUCUACUUUUCCAGUAGCACAGUCUCUAACACCAGGUAGUAUGGAGGAACGGAUUGCAGAAUUGAAUCGACAAAGUAUGGAGGCUCGUGGAAAACUACUGCAGUUGAUAGAGCAGCAGAAACUUGUUGGUUUGAAUCUUUCUCCACCAAUGUCACCUGUUCAGUUACCUCUCAGAGCAUGGACUGAAGGAGCAAAGAGGACAAUUGAGGUAUCUAUUCCAGGAGCAGAAGCCCCAGAAAGCUCAAAAUGUAGUACUGUCUCUCCCGUCAGCGGGAUAAAUACAAGAAGAUCUUCCGGGGCUACUGGUAAUUCUUGUUCUCCACUAAAUGCCACCUCAGGAAGUGGGAGAUUCACACCUCUUAAUCCAAGAGCAAAGAUUGAGAAACAGAAUGAAGAAGGCUGGUUUGCUCUUUCUACCCAUGUAUCAUAAGUGAAGUCAAGUCUCACUGAGUUUGUUCUUAAUAAUUUAUUACUUCCCUUUCCCUGCUCUGACUUUUAAGUUUUUAUAUCCUUCUUUCAGAUAAAACCUACAAAGAUCCUGUGAAUUAGUACUAAUGAAACAGAGAAAUAAAGCAAUUAUUUUUUGACUUUCUCAAAUAAGUUUUCAACAACCAACUGACCUACAGCUCCCUGUGAAUGAAACUUUGACUGUAGAGAAGUUAAAGUUUUGUAUUUUAAUACUUUCUUAAGUAUUUUAAGGGUUUUUUUUAUUAAUACAUUUUUACCUUUAUCUUUAUUCAGGGUUUUUUGAGGUUUAGUAUAUCUUAGUUGAUCCAUUUAUUUAUUUAUUUUCCUGAAGAACUAAUUUGCUUUGCAUGUAACUUACAAUAAAAUUCCUCUGUGUGAUUAGAGUCUGGCUUUCAGGAAUAUGUAACACCCACUUUUCUUUCUUUUUUCUUGGGAAGUCAUUGCUGUUCAUCACUUUUUCCAUCAAGUGAAAUAUACAGCCUUAAAAACAAUAGGCCUGGGAGUGUUUGUUUAUAUUUGCUUAAGCAGUGUCAUGAGGCGGAGAAGGCCCGACCAAAGGGCGGAUAGGUACCGGGUUCCCGGAGAGCUGGACGCCGGCCGCGCAUGCGCCCCACGGCCCGCCCUGGUUCCGCCUCCCUGGAAGAGGGGUGGCGUUGUCUCGGUAACCGGAGUAAACGGAGGCCUCCGGCAGACGCUGUGAAGAGAGGAGCCGCGGCGGUCAGUACCUUCGAGGAAAUGAAGGAACCAGAUGAUCAGGAUACUGAUGGGGAGAAAUCAGUUACAUCAAAGAGUGAUGGGAAGAAGUCUCUGAGGUCUUCUAAAUCAGAAUCAAGAUCUCCUGUUCAAGAAGAUAACACAUUUUUAGAAGAUGACACAGAUGAAACAUUUACCAAAGGGGAAGGAUCAUAUUUAGAAGAAGACUCAGAUGAGGAACGUUUGGAAGGAAGUUUGAGUUCAUUUCAGUAUGGUGAUUUGCAAAGCACUACAGUACCUCAGCAAACCCCUGCUCCAGCUGUGGAAGAAGCAGAGGAGGAAGUUAAGAAGAAAAUAUCAGAGAGCUUCUUCUAUGAUUAUAUGGAGCUUGCUUCGAUGCCUUUUGUGACUCUGGAUUCAAACAUACCACUGGAUCUUCUCACACUUGUACAUUCUUUUGGUUAUGACUGUAGAAAGCGAGCCAACCUACAACUUCUGGACGACAGUAUCGCCAUAUACAUAGCUGGGAACCAACUGAUCUUUCUGAAUUUGAAAACCAAGGAACAGAUCUACCUGCGAAGUAGCAGUGGUGAAGGAAUUGGCGUCAUUGGGAUAAGGAAAUGGGCUUAUAGAGGUUAGGUGACUUCCCCAUAGUCGUGCAAGUUUUUCAUAUUUAGAUUAGAAGUGGAGAUGAGUGAGGAGAUUUUAAAGAAUCUUAAUCUGAAGACUGAAGCAGGCACAUGGCCAUGGGAAUGGAGAAGGUUCAUCCACAUAAAACUUAUUUCACAGUAGCUGAAAAAGGGAGUUUUCCAGAUAUUAUCAUCUAUGAAUAUCCUUCUCUGAGACCAUACAGAGUCCUUCGAGAUGGGACUGAGAAGGGAUAUGCUUAUGUGGACUUUAACUACAGCGGUAACUUGCUGGCCUCUGUUGGUAGUAACCCUGACUACACACUGACUAUCUGGAACUGGAAAGAAGAACAACCCAUACUAAGGACAAAAGCUUUUUCUCAGGAAGUUUUUAAGGUUACUUUCAAUCCUGAUAAGGAAGAGCAGCUUACUACAUCGGGAUCAGGCCACAUCAAGUUCUGGGAAAUGGCUUUUACGUUCACCGGUCUCAAGCUGCAGGGAUCACUAGGUCGAUUUGGCAAAACAAUCACUACUGAUAUAGAAGGCUACAUGGAGCUCCCAGAUGGGAAGGUGCUCUCAGGGUCAGAAUGGGGCAACAUGCUGCUUUGGGAAGGUGGUCUGAUCAAAGUGGAGCUCUGUCGAGGGACAAGCAAGUCAUGUCACAAUGGUCCCAUUAACCAGAUAAUGCUGUAUGAGGGUGAAGUUAUCACUGUUGGGUCAGAUGGAUAUGUUAGGGAUGCCAAUGGAGCCAUAUGGAAGCUUGACCUUAGUUUUUCAAAUAUUACCCAGGACCCAGAAUGCCUCUUCUCCUUCCAUUCUGGAGCUAUUGAAGCCGUGGCUGUUUCUCCUCUCACUUAUCUCAUGGCCACAACUGCCUUGGACUGCUCUGUUCGAAUCUAUGAUUUUGCUAGCAAAACUCCUUUGGCCCAGAUGAAAUUCAAACAAGGAGGUACUGCCCUUGUUUGGGUACCCCGAAUGCCUGAAAGUACUUUACUAAUUAUCUGUGAAAAUGGCUAUAUUCUUGAAGCUCCACUUCCAACCAUAAAGCAAGAAGAGGAUGAUCAUGAUGUAGUCUCCUAUGAAAUCAAAGACAUGUGCAUAAAAUGUUUCCAUUUUUCAAGUGUCAAAUCUAAGAUUCUGGAUUUUGAUGUAGAUUCCCAAAUCCGUGCUGAGAUGCACAGAAAAACAGCUUUCAAAAUUCAACAAGUGGAAAAGGAAUUAGCUUGGGAAAAAGAGAAACAUGAACUCGGCCUAAUGAAGCUAAAGAAUCGGUCCAUGGAAAUAAAAGGCACAUGAACAAGUGCAUUCUCUCUCUUAGAGACCUUAAAGUGGCUGUUGUUGAGGAAAUACAGUGCCUGGUACAAGAACUGAAGAACAUUCAGUCGACUCUUCACAUAUCCAAGCACAUACCCAUUCCCAAAAUUCCUCAGAUACACCCAGAAGAAGUUCCAGAAAAGAGAUUUCAGUAUGAUGAAGAAACUCUCCUAAAUUUUAAGCAACAGCAAAUGAAAAGUAAAGAUGAAAAGUCCCCCGGAGUGGAACAGACAGGGUCUGGAGGCCCAGUUGGAGGAUUCCUCAAACUCUCUUCUAGAAAGGAUGGGGAUUUGACAACCCGUGAUUCAAUAUCUAGAUCAUCAAAGGCAUCAACAUUCAGCCUAGAUAUACCAAAGUGUUUGGAAUUUGAAAAAGCAGAGCCAACGGAUGUGGAGCUGGAAAUUAUGAAGAGAGACGAGAUUAAACACGUGUACAUGCAACAGUAUUUGGUCAACAGGAUCAAAGAACUGGUUGUCACUUUCGAUGCAGAACUCCGUCUCCUUAGACAUCAGAAACUAAAACUAGAUACUCAGAUGAAAUUAUCUGACCUGCACCAUGUCACCUUAUUUCAAGAAAUACUUCUCCUGAAGAAUUUUGAAAAACAGGAGAACAUACUUCAAGAACGUGUUAAUUCCUUAGACAAAGAGGAACAGUACAUGCAAUGGAAAAUAAAUGAAACUCUUAAAGAGAUGGAAGAGAAAAAGAAUGAAAUCACCAAACUCCAGGAGCAAGAAAAGGCACUCUAUGCUGGUUUUCAAGCAGCCAUUGGAGAAAACAAUAAAUUUGCAAACUUCCUCAUGAAGGUCCUAAAGAAGAAGAUUAAACGGGUAAAGAAAAAAGAAGUUGAAGGAGAUGCUGAUGAAGAUGAGGAGAGUGAGGAAUCAAGUGAAGAAGAAUCUAGCUUGGAGAGUGAUGAAGAUGAGUCUGAAUCAGAAGAUGAGGUUUUUGAUGAUUCUAUUUGCCCAACAAAUUGUGAUGUGGCUCUUUUUGAGCUGGCCCUUCACCUUCGAGAGAAAAGGCUGGACAUUGAGGAGGCUUUAGUUGAAGAAAAGAAAAUUGUUGAUAACCUCAAAAAGGAAUAUGAUACAUUGUCAAAAAAAGUGAAAAUUGUGGCAACUAAUCUGAAUGCAGCAGAGGAGGCCCUGGAGGCUUAUCAGCGAGAGAAGCAGCAGCGGCUGAAUGAACUGCUAGUUGUGAUUCCGCUCAAGCUCCACCAGAUAGAGUAUGUGGUAUUUGGAGAAAUACCUAGCGAUCUUUCUGGUACUUUGGUCUUCUCUAACCAUGCCUUGAGACGGCUGCAAGAACGAAUCCAUGAGCUCCAGGAGGAAAAUUCCAAGCAGCAAAAACUUAACAAAGAAUGGAGAGAGAGACGUAAACAGCUCAUCCGAGAAAAGAGAGAAAUGACAAAAACCAUACACAAAAUGGAGGAAACAGUCCGGCAGCUCAUGAUCAGCAAGUUUGGCCGUGUGGUAAAUCUAGAAGCCCUUCAAACGCUUUCUGUUAAUACAACACUUGAAGAACUGAAGAUCAGAAAACUUCGAAAGGAGCUAGCAAAUGCGAAAGAGAUGAAGAUGUGGGAGGAAAAGAUUGCUCAAAUGCGAUGGGAACUGAUGAUGAAGACAAAAGAACACACCAGAAAGCUUUAUCAGAUGAAUGAUUUGUGUAUUGAAAAGAAGAAACUUGAUUCUCGGUUGAAUACACUACAGAAUCAGCAGGGCAAUGCCUUCCAGGGCCCUCGGGAAGCAGAUGUUGUGGCAAGAGAGGAGGUCACUGAAUUGAUCCAACUCCAGGCGGAAAGGAUUUCGGCCUUAAAGGAGGAGAUUGCUCUUUUGCGUAGGAAAGGCAGUCUUAUCCUCCCACCCAUUCAGUCUCCACGAGAGAAAGAGAUACAGCCCGCAGACCUUUGAGUUUGCUAUUUUCUCAAACCCAUACAAGAUUUCUGACAUAACUCACUGGAAGUUCUGUCUCCUCAUCACCUCCAACAAUCUUAUUACUUUAAACUGAACUCGCCUGAAAGUGUAAAACCAGAUCCAGUCACGUUAAGUCACUUUAAGAAUCUCUCUACAAUUUGGUUAUCUUAGAACUGACUGCAGCACCCAACCUCUGUUAUGAAACUGAAUCAUUUUAGAUGUUUCGAACCUACUAGAUUGAAUAUGAAGUCUCGGAAGGCUGUGUUUCAUGAUUGCAGCAAAUCACCUGUAAUAUAUUUUGUUUUAGGAAAAUUUGAUUUGGGGGUAUCCUGAAUUUUUAGCCCUUGGCAAGAAAAACUAUCAUUCAGCAAUUCAUGAGAAAACUUUGUUUUCUUGAUCCUUAGAAAAUAAACUUAGAUGUUAUUAAGUGUUCUCUGAGAGGAUGCAGGAGAAAAGGACAUUUUGUCAGCUAUAUCUUAGAAUAGAAAUGCAAAUUUCAGUUUUGGCAUUGUUGACUUCAUAAAGCAGUGUUUUGAGGGCUCAGGAUUCAGGAAAUACAAACAGACAUGGCAGAGCAGUUUGCUUUGGGUUGGCAGAAAGCAGGAAAAUAACCAGCCUUCUUGGAUUGCCCACAGUUUUUGUAGACUCCUCAGUUCUGAGUGGAGCAGAGGGGCAUGCUUAAUAAAACAGUCAAUAAAGAGGCUUUUCUUUAAAGAUUUCUGCAACUCCGUCAGAAUUCUAAGUUUUCCCCAUAGUUUCUCAUGUCCCCUGCCAUUUUCUUUCAGGUUUUACUUGGGCCAUUUGCUGGUUUUGAUAUAGAUGAGGAGAUAAUGAAAUAGAUUUACUAGAGAUCAUCUUUAACAAUCACCUUUGAUUAUGCAUAACAUUUUAAACUAAUUGAAGAGUAUCCUUUUGGUUUGGGGGUAAGUGCUCAUUGAAGUUCAUGGCUAUAACCAUUGCAGGAUAAUCUCACUGACAUUUGGAAUCCUGUUAGUAACAGAGCAUAGCUCUUUAGAUUAAGAGCUCUGUAUUAACGAGCUACUCAUUGAGGCUGUUCCAGGAUAAGCUGGUCACUGAGAAGGGCGGGUGAAGAAAGGAACAUUGCAUAAAUGUAGAAGGGAACUCAGCAAUGCCAAGUCUUCCUCACCUGUGAUUAGCCUGCUAAUGUGCCCCCCAAAAUUACAGACAGGUCUUGCUUUCUUUGUACAUCAGCAUAUUCUUAGAGGUGGCCACUUGGCCUAUUGUCUUCCUAAGAUUCCUUCAUAUUCCUAUUUAAGAGGUCAGAAUACCUUAUUGUUUGCACUUGUCACCAUUAAUUUCUGAUGUAGUCACUUCUCUACUGGAGAGCACCCACUUUUUUUUUUAAAUCACUUUCUGUGUUGUAUAUCCUAAGCCAUGUGUGCCUUUCAAGUAUUUUUAAAAAUAUGCUAGUCAUAGCCCUGAGUGUCUUAUUUAUUGCGGUAAAAAAUUACCCCCAAACUUAGCUUGAAACAACAAACUUGUGAUCUCACCCAGGAGUGAGAGGGUUUCUGAGGUCCAGGAAUCUGGGGACAGCUUGGCCGGGUGUUCUGGCUCAGGGUCUUUCGUGGAGUUGCAGUCACACUAGGAGCUGGGGCUGCAGCCAUCUGAAGCUUGGCUGGAGCUGGAGGGGCUAUUAGCAAAUUCACUCCCUUGGCCAUUAGGCAGGGCUUCAGUUCCUCGCCAUGUGGGCCUCUCCAUAGGGCCGCUUGGGAUAUGACUUCUCCCAGAGCAAGUGAUCCAAGAGUGAGGGAGACAGCAAGAGAGAAUGAUGUAUACAAGAGCCACAGUCUUUUACAGCCCAAGCUCAGAAGUGACAUAGCGUCACUAUUGUCAUAUGGGUCACAGGCUGACCCUGUGUGAUGUGGGAGGGGACUGAACAGGGUGUGAAUGCCAGGUGGGGGUCACCGGGGCCUUCGUGGGAGCUGGCAGCCACAAGAAGCAGCUGCCUGGAGAGAGUGGCUGGUCUCUGAGAAAGGUCUUGAGGCGAUACCAUCCCCUUGGUAAUUGUAGAGAAUCAGGAGAAGUUACGUUAUCUUCCUGGGCCUCAUUUUAUUAUCUGACAAAUGAAGGAUUGGUAGAAUGGGUUCCUUCCCAUUCUGAGAUUCUGAUUCUGAUUGCAGCAAGAAUGGACCUACAGUCUACAGAAGAGCCACAUCAGGACUUGCUGUGCAUUUCAACUGAGAGGAAAGCUAAUCGGGAUAAUUAUUCCCAAACUGAGCUGGACUAAAUCACUAGUUAAUUCUACAAUAUUCAGGGCUUCAUUCCGCAUGUUUGGGAAUUGACGACAGUUAACACUGAAUUACUUUAUUUUGAAUUGGACAAAAUAUGUUGAUAGCUUUAGGUUCAUUUCAACUUGAUUCCAGGCUUAGUCUUAAAUCUGUAGUUAAGUUAGAGCAUCUGAGUCUUUGGGAAGUUAAGCUUCAAACACAAGUAGACCAGCAGGGUGUGGCAUGGGCAGGGUGGCUGGGAAGCUAUCCUGCUCCUGGCACACUUCCCUGCCUUCUGCUGUGCUCCCAGAGGAGCAGCCUCACCUCUGAGGGUAAGGCCAAAAAUCAGCCUACACUGAGUUACUUGUGGGUCAAUUGUUCAUAUAACUUGGCUCUUCUGAACUGUCAUCCAUAGUAUCACCGAUGAUCAAUCUCAGCAUUGGAAGAAAAAGAAACCACAGAGUCCAGCCCCUCUGUCACAACUUCAGAGUAAAGGAGUUGCUCAUGCCUGCCAGCCAGCCUGUCCCACCACAGCGGGCUCCCCAGCUUAGGGAGGUCUGUGAGCCAUGUGCUAAAUUUCUCUUUAGAGCUAAAUCCAUUGAGUGCUAUGAUUCCAGUGCUGUGCAGAAAGCAGAUGUUUCACCUAUCACUUCAGAAAAGUUCACCAGACUUCAUUUUGACAGCUACCUUAGAUCAUCAAGGAGAAAAAGGAAAAAAUGUAAAAACCAGUGGGGCUAGAAGGUGAGUUACAGCUCAGAUUGGGGGGCCUCUGGAUAGCAAAGCAAUGACUGAGAGCGUCAGCCCUACCCACCCCAGAAGUGAGCUCUGGGCCGUGAUGCCAGGUUGUCUGAAAUCACAGUAUCUUAUUUUUUCUCUUCUCUUCCCUGCUCUGCUUCUCAUUUCCUAACAUUUACCUGUUCCUUACAGUCCUUCCUUUUAAAUAAUAUUUUUAAAAUACUGCUUUCCUGAAAACCAUGCUGCACUUCCACAUGAAGUUCUCUCUGACGUUGAGCUUGAUGGAAAAAGGAUGCAGAAGUCAGGAAUAGCAGGUGCUAUACUUAUUUUGGCCAGCAGAGGAUGCACUUGCCCUAAACAGUCAGAGUGACUCUUCCCUAGGACCCUGUUUAUCAAAUUCUUCAUGUUUAAAAGCCAGGGUCUGGCCCCCCACUUAACGAGAUUGUCUCAAGUGGCAUUUCAUCUGUAACUCAAUUUUACAGAAAUCUAGAAAAUACAGGCUCCCCCCACCCUCUCCAGCCCCAAAACACAAAGCGUAGUAAGGCUUUCAUUGCAAGCAUCAGUCUCCAUCUAAUUCCACUUCCACAUAUAAAGAUUUUAAAAUUUCAAUUAAAAAAGAAUCUAUGGUUGAUCCUUUGGUUGGACAACAGUAAGUAAAUGUUGAUUUUAAACUAGUGAGUCAACUACUCUGGCAAUGUUGGUGUAUCUUUGGAAAGAAGGGAAGUGAAUUUAUUAUGCACCAUAUGUCCAUGUGUGGCACAGCACUUAGCUAAACAGUAUUUUGGAGAAAAUAUUUGGUCUUCAACACACACCUAUAUAAAAAAGAUUAGUUCUAUUUCUUCAAUAUGACCUAAACUUCAUCUCAAGUCCAGUUGGUAAGAGAACUAUGAACCUGUUUUUCCUGGUCUGUUGUACAACGGUUCCCUUGUGGACUAAACGGUAAUGUGUUCUGCAUGAAUCCAAGCACAACUGACAUUCACUGUUUUAAAAAACAAAAAAGAGAAACAUUUACUACCUUUUUCAGAUCUCAUUUCUGAUGGACCUGAAAAUAUUGUAAGUGGGUAUUUUCUUCAAAUACUCAGAGACUGAAUUCUAACAUGUAAAGAAAAUGCUGACUCACACAUGACUCAGUUUGAAGGUUACAGGGAAGACUAAACAUUUAUUUAGAAGUUACAGUGUUUGUUUUUACAGAGAUAUGUUGCCACGGAUUAUUGAUUCUGGAAGGUUUUUUAAUGCUCAUAGUGCUGUACACAUCUUGGUCUGUUCUCAUGGGCAUCUUAGGAAAAUGUUUCCCGUAGCACCGGAUCCAGCCAUCUGUGUGGGUGUCUCCAGGCUGUGAUACCGUGCCCCUUGCUGUUCCCUCAUGCUCGUGAUGAACCAUGUGCCUGGGAUCCUUCCUCUUGCCAGCUUAUCUGUGGGCCUCCUGCAGCCUCGCCUGCCACUGCAGAGGCCCCAGGUUAGGAGUCUGUCCCGCGCCAGCCUGUGCGGUGCUUUCCUGGGUGACUCCUGUUAGGUGGCAGCUUCUUUAUUUUCCCUCUCCAACCUCAACGGGUAGGACUCCUUAUGUCUCUCCAGAAUUAUAAAACAUAUACAUUUAUUUACAAGUGCAUAAAUAUAUAAAUAUGGCUAUAAUAGAAAAAUAAAUACCAAUUUUCUCUGUC
rnacentral:lncRNA from 1 species